rnacentral:rRNA from 1 species
CUAAUACAUGCAAGUCGAGCGAACAGACGAGGAGCUUGCUCCUCUGACGUUAGCGGCGGACGGGUGAGUAACACGUGGAUAACCUACCUAUAAGACUGGGAUAACUUCGGGAAACCGGAGCUAAUACCGGAUAAUAUAUUGAACCGCAUGGUUCAAUAGUGAAAGACGGUUUUGCUGUCACUUAUAGAUGGAUCCGCGCCGCAUUAGCUAGUCGGUAAGGUAACGGCUUACCAAGGCGACGAUGCGUAGCCGACCUGAGAGGGUGAUCGGCCACACUGGAACUGAGACACGGUCCAGACUCCUACGGGAGGCAGCAGUAGGGAAUCUUCCGCAAUGGGCGAAAGCCUGACGGAGCAACGCCGCGUGAGUGAUGAAGGUCUUCGGAUCGUAAAACUCUGUUAUUAGGGAAGAACAAAUGUGUAAGUAACUAUGCACGUCUUGACGGUACCUAAUCAGAAAGCCACGGCUAACUACGUGCCAGCAGCCGCGGUAAUACGUAGGUGGCAAGCGUUAUCCGGAAUUAUUGGGCGUAAAGCGCGCGUAGGCGGUUUUUUAAGUCUGAUGUGAAAGCCCACGGCUCAACCGUGGAGGGUCAUUGGAAACUGGAAAACUUGAGUGCAGAAGAGGAAAGUGGAAUUCCAUGUGUAGCGGUGAAAUGCGCAGAGAUAUGGAGGUACACCAGUGGCGAAGGCGACUUUCUGGUCUGUAACUGACGCUGAU